AAGCCUACCCAGGUUACCAGUGGGGAGCUGGCAGACUGUCAAAUCCUAUUCUUUUGGGGUAAUCCAUGGCCAGAAGCUUUUGUGGAACUCACUACAGGGGAUGUGGCUGCUUGUCAGAGAUGCAAACAGGAGCACUGAAGCUUCUGGGCUUAAGUGAUGACCUCAAGAGGACUCCUGAAUUAAUGUCUGUACAGUAACUUCUCAGAGUCUGGUUACCAGAAACCUCUGGAGUGUUCUAACUGGCAAAAACAAUGGUACUUUGCGGUUUUGAGCCUGGGAAACCUAAAAAAAAGUAAGCUGCAUGCCUGGUUGUGCUGUGACAUCUCGUAACAGACAGGCAGUUGACACUGGCUCCAUGAACAACAGCCAACCUCCUCCUUUGCACACAGACUGAAAAUGGGAAACAUGAGGUUUGGGAAGAGUCUUAGACCCAUUUUAUUACCAAAUAGUUGAAGCUUUUACUUGGACAAAUAUAUUUGCAAUUUCAAAAUCCACAAGGAUUUGGUUUAGAAAUUAC
rnacentral:lncRNA from 10 species